AGGACGAACGCUGGCGGCGUGCUUAACACAUGCAAGUCGAGCGGUGACGCACCUUCGGGUGCUGAUCAGCGGCGAACGGGUGAGUAACACGUGGGCAACCUGCCCCUAACACUGGGAUAACCUCGGGAAACCGGGGCUAAUACCGGAUAUGACCUCAAGCGGCAUCUCUUGAGGUGUAAAGCUCCGACGGUUAGGGAUGGGCCCGCGGCCUAUCAGCUUGUUGGUGGGGUAAUGGCCUACCAAGGCGACGACGGGUAGCCGGCCUGAGAGGGCGACCGGCCACACUGGGACUGAGACACGGCCCAGACUCCUACGGGAGGCAGCAGUGGGGAAUUUUGGACAAUGGGCGCAAGCCUGAUCCAGCCAUGCCGCGUGUGGGAAGAAGGCCUCGGGUUGUAACCACUUUGUCAGGGAGAACGGUCUGAUUUAAUACAUUGGACUAAUGACGGUACCUGAAGAAUAAGCACCGGCUAACUACGCGCCAGCAGCCGCGGU
rnacentral:rRNA from 1 species